rnacentral:rRNA from 1 species
AUGGACCCCAAGUUCCCCCCUCCCCCACCGCUAAACAAAGCGGAGCCCACCUCCGCGGCGACGGCCACCACCACCACCUCCUCCCCCUCCACCACGCCCGCCCAGCAGCACCAGCACCAGCAGCAGCAGCUGGAUCGCGAGCAGUACCACCACCCGCAGGAGCAGCAGCCGCCGCAGCACCAGCUGCAAAUCCAGGUGCAUCAGCAGCAGGAGGAUGGGGGCGGCGGCGGCGGGGGGAAGGAGCAGCAGCAGCAGCAGCAGGUGGUGGUGGCGGCGGCGGGGGACCGGAGGGUGCAGGCGCUGGGGCCGAAGCGGAGCUCCAACAAGGACCGCCACACCAAGGUGGACGGCCGGGGGCGCCGGAUCCGGAUGCCGGCGCUCUGCGCGGCGCGGAUCUUCCAGCUCACGCGCGAGCUCGGCCACAAGUCGGACGGCGAGACCGUGCAGUGGCUGCUGCAGCAGGCCGAGCCGGCCAUCGUUGCCGCCACCGGCACGGGCACCAUCCCGGCGUCCGCGCUCUCCUCCGUCGCGCCCUCGCUCCCCUCGCCCACCUCCGCGCUCGCCGGCCGCCCGCACCACCACCACCACAUGUGGGGCCCGCCGCCGGCGUCCGCGGGCUUCUCGCAGGCCGGCUUCAUGAACUCCUCCGGCGCCGACGGCGGGGGCAUCGGCGGCCUCAUGCAGCGGAUUGGCCUCCCCGCCGGGAUCGAGCUGCCGGGCGGCGGCGCGGGGGGCAUGGGCGGCCACAUCGGGUUCGCGCCAAUGUUCGCCGGCCACGCCGCCGCGGCCAUACCGGGGCUGGAGCUCGGCCUGUCGCAGGAGGGCCACAUCGGGGUGCUCAGCCAGUUCUACCACCAGGUCGGCGGCGCCGGCGCCAGCGGGCAGCUGCAGCACCCGCACCCGCACCAGCACCACCACCACGAACAGCACCACCACCAGCAGCAGCAGCAGCAGGAGGACGGGGAGGACGAGCGCGAGGACGGCGACUCCGAGGAGGAGUCCGGGCAGUAG